rnacentral:rRNA from 1 species
AUACGUAGGGGGCAAGCGUUAUCCGGAAUUAUUGGGCGUAAAGAGUGCGUAGGUGGUCUUAUAAGCGUGGGGUGAAAGGCAGUGGCUUAACCAUUGUAAGCCUUGCGAACUGUAAGACUUGAGUGCAGGAGAGGAAAGCGGAAUUCCUAGUGUAGCGGUGAAAUGCGUAGAUAUUAGGAGGAACACCAGUGGCGAAGGCGGCUUUCUGGACUGUAACUGACACUGAGGCACGAAAGCGUGGGGAGCAGACAGGAUUAGAUACCCUGGUAGUCCACGCCGUAAACGAUGAGCACUAGGUGUCGGGGUCGCGAGACUUCGGUGCCGCAGUUAACGCAUUAAGUGCUCCGCCUGGGGAGUACGCACGCAAGUGUGAA